UGCCCAGCAACUCCUAUCCCUACCUCCUCGUGGUACCGGCCGGAAACUAUGAACAACCUUAGGGAAGAUCGGGUAACCAACCCCGGUGGGAACUUUGGGCAUAGCUUGACAGGGAAGG
rfam:Aedes albopictus isolate Foshan contig115206, whole genome shotgun sequence.